AGUGAACGCUGGCGGUAGGCCUAACACAUGCAAGUCGAACGGCAGCACAGUAAGAGCUUGCUCUUACGGGUGGCGAGUGGCGGACGGGUGAGGAAUACAUCGGAAUCUACUUUUUCGUGGGGGAUAACGUAGGGAAACUUACGCUAAUACCGCAUACGACCUACGGGUGAAAGCAGGGGAUCUUCGGACCUUGCGCGAUUGAAUGAGCCGAUGUCGGAUUAGCUAGUUGGCGGGGUAAAGACCCACCAAGGCGACGAUCCGUAGCUGGUCUGGGAGGAUGAUCAGCCACACUGGAACUGAGACACGGUCCAGACUCCUACGGGAGGCAGCAGUGGGGAAUAUUGGGCAAUGGGCGCAAGCCUGAUCCAGCGAUACCGCGUGUGUGAAGAAGGCCUUCGGGUUGUAAAGCCCUUUUGUUGGGAAAGAAAAGCAGCAGGUUAAUACCCCGCUGUUCUGACGGUACCCAAAGAAUAAGCACCGGCUAACUUCGUG
rnacentral:rRNA from 1 species